UACGAAGGGGGCUAGCGUUGCUCGGAAUCACUGGGCGUAAAGCGCGCGUAGGCGGACCUGCAAGUCGGGGGUGAAAGCCCGAGGCUCAACCUCGGAACUGCCUUCGAUACUGCGGGUCUCGAGUCCGGGAGAGGUGAGUGGAAUUCCUAGUGUAGAGGUGAAAUUCGUAGAUAUUAGGAAGAACACCAGUGGCGAAGGCGGCUCACUGGCCCGGUACUGACGCUGAGGCGCGAAAGCUAGGGGAGCGAACGGG
rnacentral:rRNA from 1 species